rnacentral:rRNA from 1 species
UACAGAGGGUGCGAGCGUUGUUCGGAAUUAUUGGGCGUAAAGGGUGCGUAGGCGGCGCGGAAAGUAGGGUGUGAAAUCCCUCGGCUCAACCGAGGAACUGCGCUCUAAACUACCGUGCUCGAGGGAGAUAGAGGUGAGCGGAACUUAGGGUGGAGCGGUGAAAUGCGUUGAUAUCCUAAGGAACACCGGUGGCGAAAGCGGCUCACUGGAUCUCUUCUGACGCUGAGGCACGAAAGCUAGGGUAGCGAACGGG